AACGAACGCUGGCGGCGUGGUUUAGGCAUGCAAGUCGAGCGAGAAAGCCCUUCGGGGUGAGUACAGCGGCGCAAGGGUGAGUAAUAUAUAGGUAACCUACCUUUUGAAUCGGGAUAAUUUCUGGAAACGGAUUGUAAUACCGAAUAGUCUUCUCGGAUCGCAUGGUCUGAUAAGUAAAUGGUUGCUCUGCUUCUGUCAAAAGAGGGGCCUAUAUCCUAUUAGCUAGUUGGUGAGGUAACUGCUCACCAAGGCUUUGAUGGGUAGCCGGACUGAGAGGUUGGCCGGUCACACUGGGACUGAGACACUGCCCAG
rnacentral:rRNA from 1 species